rnacentral:rRNA from 1 species
UACAGAGGUCUCAAGCGUUGUUCGGAAUCACUGGGCGUAAAGGGUGCGUAGGUGGCGAUGUAAGUCAGAUGUGAAAGCCCGGGGCUCAACCUCGGAAUUGCAUCCGAUACUGCCCUGCUUGAGUACUGAAGGGGUGACUAGAAUUCUCGGUGUAGCGGUGAAAUGCGUAGAUAUCGAGAGGAAUACCAAAGGCGUAGGCAGGUCACUGGGCAGUUACUGACACUGAGGCACGAAGGCCAGGGGAGCGAACGGG